AUCACAACUGCUCGCAUUCCUGGGGCAUUUUACUGUCUAUGAAAUGUUGUCAUGUGCAUGAUCCCAUGUGGCCCACUCUGCUCCCUAAAACCUUACAUGAUUUUCCAUCUUGAAUUUUUGCUGGUCUGCCCUCCUAUCUCUCUCCUUUUGCCUGAAAGCUUCUCUGGAGGGAAGGGCAAAGUGGUUUAGAGGCUUGGCAGUGGGGUCGAAGAUGGUUUCUACACAACUGGGAAGCCACUGUUGGCUGCCUACAUAUUAACUGUUCUUCUUUCUUGCUAAGAUAAUUCUGAUUUUUGUUCAGUUGAAAAUGUUCCCAGCACCAGAGAGUGAAUCCUAAUUGGUUUAAGCCAGUCAUGGCAAUCUGACCCCUGUUGACAGGGAUUGGUCUAGGGAUGAGCAAUAGGACCCUGUUGUGGCCUAGAUGUAAGUGAGUCUGGGAGGAUUCUGAGAAAGAUUUUACUAUCUGAUUAUAAGAGAGAUAAAGGGGAAAAUUAUUUUUUUGCCCUUGCACUUUUCCUUCCCAGUUGAGACACUAAUGUGUGAAGACAUGAAGCUUGGAGCUUUGGCAACCAUCUUGUGAUGAUGAGGGUGACAGAGCAGAAGAUAAACAAAGCCUGGUAGAGACAUCGAUUUACACAGCUGGAUCCACCGCUGGGCUCACCUGCGCAUUCUGGCUUCCUGGGUCCUGCCUGGGAGAGGAAGGGGUGCAGAGAGUGGAGAAAGUUGGACAGGAGAGGGAGCUACCAUUGCUCCUAGCCUCAUCUGUGUCUGAAGAAUGAUUACCCUGAGGGGUUUCUCUACUUAUCUCCUCCCUGGAUGGCUGUAUAAGCCAGAUGAUGGUUACCUGAACACUCUAGAAAAAGAAUUCACAGAGGGUUUCACAGGGCACGGCCUCGCAGUCUGGAGGGAGAAGAGGGCAAAGCGGUCUUCACGGACGCCACCUACUGCCUGGCUGGGCAGAGAGCCAGUGGAUCAGAGAGGCCGGCUCUGUUCUUGGCAGGAAAUGAGGAGCUGGCAUGGAAAUGCCACCCAGGCUGGGAACAAGAUCUAUGGAGUGGCAGCCUGAGUGGGUGAGGUGAGGGGGAGCACAGGACAACCCAAGGCUCUCUCGUCAGCAGCGCCAGUCCACAGGGAUCUUCAGUGGUCAGCAUUCGAACAUGCUGGACUGGGCCGGGCCAUGGAAACCCACUCUUUGUCAGUGAAUCCCAAGCUUCAGUGCACCUCUGUAUCACCUUGGCAGGAGGGUAGUAUUUAAAAGGCCGUUUCCUAAAGCCUAGCUCAAGAGUUGGAUCAGGAAGUUCGGGAUGAAGCCUGAUAAUUAGUCUUUUAAUAAGCCUUCCUAGCAGGAGACGACUUUGAGAAAUGUGGGUGUAGAGAUUCAGACAAGAAAGCUAAUAGGGCCAUUGAAAGCCUUUUACCUACCAGAAUGGGAUCAAUACACACUUCCCCAACCUUGAAAGCAAGAUUUCUCCUAAUACUAUCCUUGGAGCCACCCAACCCUACCACUCCCAUUAAAGUCACUGGGGGUGUUUGCUAAAAUGCAGACUAUGGGUUCCCAACACAGAUGUAUUGAAUCAGAUUCUCUAAGGGUGAGGACUUGAAUAUACACUUACAAUAAGCACCCUAAUAAUAAUAAUAGCCUAGGUUCAUAUAGUGUUGACUCUGUGACAUGUUCUUUAAUAUUAGCUCAUUUAAUAUGUACAAUAAUUUGUGAGGUAGGUUAUAUUAUUAUUCCAUUUAGCAAAUGAUGAAACUGAGACCCAGAGAGGUAAAGUAACCUGCCAAGGUUAUACCACUACUUAGUGACUGAACUGGGAUUCAGACCUAGGUGCUGCUAUAGUUGGGCUCCUAAUGUAGGAGAAGAAAAAUAUGUGUCCUCUACUAUCUUAUGUUUAGUGCCUGGAGCCUUUGAAUUAAACUGACGAAAGGUAGAUUAGCAGGAGGAAAAAUACAGAGUUUAUUUACACGUGUAACAGGCAUACAUGUGGUUGAGCUCUGUGAUGAGUAACUCAAAGGGGUGUUAGAAUUUGGGGCUUAUGUACCAUCUUAACAAAGGAUAAUAAAAUGUGGAGAACAAGGGAAAUAGGUUAAGGGGUGGCUGGGCUAGAGUUUACUGUGGGAAGGUGAAUAUAUGAGGAAAAUUAAUAUUUGAGGUAAGAUAAGGAUUAUUUUAGUAAGGUUUACUUAUGUAGACCCAUGUGGGCACUGACGUUUUGUCUCCAAUAUAAGGGUUGUUCACUGUACAGAACAGGGAAAGGGGAACACCUUCACAAAGGGAAAAUUAUGCACUGCUUCUAGGCAGAUAGAAAGAAGGUAGAGAGCUCUUUCUGCAUUUGCUGCAUCUUAAUUGCCUUCAGUGGUAUACUUUGGAUGGCAUGUUCUGAUUCCCUUUGCUAACCAGCAUACCAUAUAGCCCAGCUUCUUCAGAUGGAGGCUAAAUCUCAAAACCCCUUAUCAGUCAUACUUGCCAGCUUCUGAUCAACUCUGCAGUAGAGGGAAGAACCUGAGCAGAAGCUGAUGUGGUAGUUGCUGAAGGUACAGGCCAGAAGGCAACUUAAUGAUCUGUAAAGAGCACUGCUCUGGAAGUCAGGAGACAAGGAUGUAGUAGGAACAUGCCAGGUGACAGUAGACAAGUAGAUUCUCCUUUCAAGGCUUUGGUUCCAGCCAUCUGUCAAGAUGAUGCUAAGCUGGAUGACUUCUAGAUUUCUUCUCAGCUCUGGCAUUUGAAAAUUAUGUGCAUUUCUCUUUCUGAGCAAGCUGAGGCAGUUUCCUGGAGGCUCUGUGUGUAUGUGUGUAUGUUGUAGGGGAGAGGACAGUUAUAUGUGGGGGAAGUAGCCCCAGCCCAAAUCAGGCUGGGCGUGUGUGUGUGGCUGCUGUAAGUCUGGGUGUAUCCCAGGCCAGGCCAGUGGGGAAGGGUUGGAACUUACAAGGGCAGGACUUGCACUGAAACCAAGGCUGUUUCUCUCUCAGCUGUUUGUCUAGUUUCGUCCUGAAACAAUGCCCUUAGGCUCACCUAAGGAGAGAAUGAAAGGCAUAGAGACUGGAACAGCUGUGGAGAUAACAUAGAAACAGCUUCAGGGCAACCGAGACCCAGAAGUAGG
rnacentral:lncRNA from 1 species